rnacentral:rRNA from 1 species
AACGUAGGAGGCGAGCGUUAUCCGGAUUUACUGGGCGUAAAGCGCGUGUAGGCGGCGCGAUAAGUUGGAUGUGAAAGCUCCUGGCUAAACUGGGAGAGGUCGUUCAAUACUGUCGUGCUUGAGGAUGGGAGAGGGAGGUGGAAUUCCGGGUGUAGUGGUGAAAUGCGUAGAUAUCCGGAGGAACACCAGUGGCGAAGGCGGCCUCCUGGCCCAUUUCUGACGCUCAGACGCGAAAGCUAGGGUAGCAAACGGG